rnacentral:lncRNA from 1 species
CUUCCUUUUAUCUCUUAUUUCUAUUUUGUAUAAAUACCAAAUGUAAUCGUAGGUAUUGAAUCAUCAAAUUGAGAUAAAUCAUUCUUCAAUUUCUCUCGUGUUUUCUUUGUUAUAUACAACAUUUUGCAAUGUCUUAUGAAGUAUUUGAUUUAAACAGUUUCUAGCAUUCGGGGACCAUUGAACUGAUAUGAACAAAGUUUUUAAUAUAGUUGCACUGCUUGUCAUGAACCAGCAUUCUCAAAUACUCUAGAUUGCAGUAAUACAAGUUCAUGACACUUUCUUCUAUCAAAGACUUUUCAAAUACCUGUAUUACCGAUACAACUGAAAUGGUUGCUUGGCUUCAAAAUUUGUACUUGUUCACAAACUAGAGAAAUGAUCAAAACAGAACAAGUAANN